UACGUAGGGUGCAAGCGUUGUCCGGAAUUAUUGGGCGUAAAGAGCGUGUAGGCGGCCAGGUAGGUCUGCUGUGAAAACUCGAGGCUCAACCUCGAGACGUCGGCGGAAACCAUCUGGCUAGAGUCCGGAAGAGGAGAGUGGAAUUCCUGGUGUAGCGGUGAAAUGCGCAGAUAUCAGGAGGAACACCCGUGGUGUAGACGGCUUGCUGGACAGUCACUGACGCUGAGGCACGAAAGCGUGGGGAGCAAACAGG
rnacentral:rRNA from 1 species